UACGUAGGGGGCUAGCGUUGUCCGGAAUCAUUGGGCGUAAAGCGCGUGUAGGCGGUUCGGUAAGUCCGCUGUGAAAGUCGGGGGCUCAACCCUCGAAAGCCGGUGGAUACUGUCGGACUAGAGUGCGGAAGAGGCGAGUGGAAUUCCUGGUGUAGCGGUGAAAUGCGCAGAUAUCAGGAGGAAUACCGGUGGCGAAGGCGGCAUCCUGGACCGACAUUGACGCUGAGGAGCGAAAGCUAGGGGAGCAAACGGG
rnacentral:rRNA from 1 species